rnacentral:rRNA from 1 species
GCUUGUCUCAAAGAUUAAGCCAUGCAUGUCUUAGUGUAAAUAACUCUUAUGAAACUGCGAAUGGCUCAUUAAAUCAGUUAUCGUUUAUUUGAUGGUCCCUUACUACAUGGAUAACCGUAGUAAUUCUAGAGCUAAUACAUGCACAAAGGCCCGACUUCGGGAGGGGUGUAUUUAUUAGAUAAAAAACCAAUGCCCUUCGGGGCUCCUUGGUGAUUCAUAAUAACUUAACGAAUCGCAUGGCCUUGCGCCGGCGAUGGUUCAUUCAAAUUUCUGCCCUAUCAACUUUCGAUUGUAGGAUAGAGGCCUACAAUGGUCUUAACGGGUAACGGGGAAUUAGGGUUCUAUUCCGGAGAGGGAGCCUGAGAAACGGCUACCACAUCCAAGGAAGGCAGCAGG